GAGUUUGAUCCUGGCUCAGAAUGAACGUUGGCGGCGUGGAUUAGGCAUGCAAGUCGUACGGGCCGCAAGGCCAGUGGCGCAAGGGUGAGUAAGGCGACGGUAACCAACCCCGUGACUGGGUAUAGCCGUGGGAAACCGCGGGUAAUCCCCAGCGACGUCCGGGAGGGGCAUCCCUCCGGGACCAAAGCUCCGGCGUCGCGGGACGGGCCGUCGUGCUAUUAGCUUGUUGGCGGGGUGACGGCCCACCAAGGCUGUGAUGGCUACCGGGCGUGCGAGCGUGGCCCGGCACACUGGGACUGAGACACUGCCCAGACUCCUACGGGAGGCUGCAGUCGGGAAUCUUCGGCAAUGGGCGCAAGCCUGACCGAGCGACGCCGCGUGGAGGACGAAGGCCUU
rnacentral:rRNA from 1 species